GCCGGCGUGAUGGAACCUGGCAGACAUGAUGCCCUCAAAAGGCAUUGGGCCUCGGCCCGUGUGGGUUCGAAUCCCACCGCCGGCA
rnacentral:tRNA from 1 species